AGGACGAACGCUGGCGGCGUGGCUUAAACACAUGCGAGUCGAACGGAAAGGCCCUGCGUUUUGUGGGGGUGCUCGAGUGGCGAACGGGUGAGUAACACGUGAGUAACCUGCCCUUGACUUUGGGAUAACUUCAGGAAACUGGGGCUAAUACCGGGAUAGGAGCUCCUGCUGCAUGGUGGGGGUUGGAAAGUUUCGGCGGUUGGGGAUGGACUCGCGGCUUAUCAGCUUGUUGGUGGGGUAGUGGCUUACCAAGGCUUUGACGGGUAGCCGGCCUGAGAGGGUGACCGGCCACAUUGGGACUGAGAUACGGCCCAGACUCCUACGGGAGGCAGCAGUGGGGAAUAUUGCACAAUGGGCGGAAGCCUGAUGCAGCAACGCCGCGUGCGGGAUGACGGCCUUCGGGUUGUAAACCGCUUUCGCCUGUGACGAAGCGUGAGUGACGGUAAUGGGUAAAGAAGCACCGGCUAACUACGUG
rnacentral:rRNA from 1 species